AGCAGCCGCGGUAAUUCCAGCUCCAAUAGCGUAUAUUAAAGUUGUUGCAGUUAAAAAGCUCGUAGUUGAAUUUCGAGACCGGCUUACUGGUCGUGCUUUUGUACGUACUGGUAUAAUCGGUUUCUCCUUUCUGACGAACUAUAAUGCCAUUAAUUUGGUGUUAUAGGGAAUCAGGACUGUUACUUUGAAAAAAUUAGAGUGUUUAAAGCAGGCUCACGCUUGAAUACAUUAGCAUGGAAUAACGGAAUAGGACGUUUGAUUCUAUUUUGUUGGUUUCUAGGAUCGACGUAAUGAUUAAUAGGGAUAGUUGGGGGCAUUAGUAUUCAAUUGUCAGAGGUGAAAUUCUUGGAUUUAUUGAAGACUAACUACUGCGAAAGCAUUUGCCAAGGAUGUUUUCAUUAAUCAAGAACGAAAGUUAGGGGAUCGAAGACGAUCAGAUACCGUCGUAGU
rnacentral:rRNA from 1 species